GCGGGUCGUGGUGCAGGUGACUCAACAAUUCCACAAGCAUAAUGCUCGGUGACAACUUGAGCAACAUCAACACAGGGAAAAUAAUACUGAUGAUGGUGAGCCUCGCCGUCGACACCGUCCUCCCGCUGCCUCCACACUCAGUGGCAGGAGAGUUGUCAGUCGCUGGUGGUGCUGUGGGCGCCGUGCUGGAGGCGGUGUCUCGGCCCACCUGCUCCCUGAUCCUCCUGACAGAUGGCACCACCUCACCCUCCACCAUCCUCAAGGAGGAGAGUGUAGUACGAGGGAGCCCUGGGUGUGGGGGUGUUC